rnacentral:rRNA from 1 species
CAAAACAUCGCCUCCUGCAAAAAUCAAUGUAUAGGAGGUCCUACCUGCCCAGUGACUAUUAGUUAAACGGCCGCGGUAUUUUGACCGUGCUAAGGUAGCGCNAAUCACUUGUCUUUUAAAUGAAGACCUGUAUGAAUGGUGUAACGAGGGCUUAACUGUCUCCCUUCUCUGGUCAAUGAAAUUGAUCUACCCGUGCAGAAGCGGGUAUAAAAAUACAAGACGAGAAGACCCUUUGGAGCUUAAGACAAAAAGCCAACCGUGUUAAAAGCCCCUUAUAAAAACAGGCUAAACAAAGCAGCAACUGGCCAACGUCUUCGGUUGGGGCGACCACGGGGGAAAAUAAAGCCCCCAUGUGGACUGGGAAAAUUCCUAAAACCAAGAGACACAUCUCUAAGUAACAGAACAUCUGACCUAAAGAUCCGGCCCACAAGCCGAUCAACGAACCAAGUUACCCUAGGGAUAACAGCGCAAUCCUCUUCAAGAGUUCAUAUCGACAAGAGGGUUUACGACCUCGAUGUUGGAUCAGGACAUCCUAAUGGUGCAGCCGCUAUUAAGGGUUCGUUUGUUCAACGAUUAAAGUCCUACGU